rnacentral:rRNA from 1 species
ACGGGAGGCAGCAGUAGGGAAUAUUGGGCAAUGGAGGCAACUCUGACCCAGCCAUGCCGCGUGAAGGAAGAAUGUCCUAUGGAUUGUAAACUUCUUUUGUUGCAGAGUAAAGCGCGGGACGCGUCCUGCGUUGAGAGUAUGCGACGAAUAAGCAUCGGCUAACUCCGUGCCAGCAGCCGCGGUAAUACGGAGGAUGCAAGCGUUAUCCGGAUUUAUUGGGUUUAAAGGGUGCGCAGGCGGAUCGGUAAGUCAUGGGUGAAAUUUCGCUGCUUAACAGCGAACGUGCCUAUGAUACUGCCGGACUAGUGUGCAAGCGGCGCAACUGGAAUGUGACGUGUAGCGGUGAAAUGCUUAGAUAUGUCACAGAACGCCAAUCGUGAAGACAGGUUGCGAGCUUGUUACAGACGCUCAGGCACGAAAGCGUGGGUAUCAAACAGGAUUAGAUACCCUGGUA